rnacentral:lncRNA from 1 species
AGAGGGCGCCGGGCGGCCGGGGCUCGCGCUCGCCGCAGGGCAGGGGCUGGGCCGGGGCCUCUCGUUUCUGAGCUGGCUGCCCCCGGAGAAGUGUAGCUCAAGGCCCGGCGAGGCUCAGGAGCAGACAGCGGGAAGGCUGGAGUCUGCCUCAUUCAAAAACAGGUAGGGAAUUUCUCCUAGAUCCUUCACAACUGAAGAGAGGUUGCAACAGCGGCGAGAUGGAUGGAGCUCAUGUGUUUGAACCAGGCAUCUGCAACACGUAGCAGUAGCAGAAUUCUGUUCCCAACAAACUGCUGUACCAGGAAUAUUUUCUGCAGCUGAAGUGGCAGCCGAAAGCAUGGUCAUGCUGAAGAUACUGGUAUGUGGUAACAGCUACCACUUGGUGGCAUCCACUCCAUGCUUUAUUUGGCUGAAAACUCCGCAGCCGGCAAGCUGAGAUUUUCUGAGUAACUGGCUUGACAUUCUUUAACGGUCUGUAUUGAUCCAGCAGAAAAGAAAAAGUUUCACUGUGGAGGAACUGAGAUAAAAAGUAUUAGAAGAAAACAUGUGAGUCACAGAAAAUGACAUUUGGACCCAUAAAUGAGGAGUGUGGGCAAAUUAACUGAAGACAUGUGGCACAAGUUUUGAAAUGAGAGCAACAAAAAAAGAAAGAAA